CACCGCCCGUCACACCAUGGGAGUCGUUUGCUCCAGAAGCACCUGAGCUAACUCGCAAGAGAGGCAGGGUUCCAAGGAGUGGACGGUAACUGGGGUG
rnacentral:rRNA from 1 species